UUCCUCCGGCAGCACGCGGGCACGAUGCCGCCCGGCUCCACCCCGCUGGCGUUGAGCACAGAGGCACCGCCCCGAACCCCGUCGGACCAUCUCCCCUUGCCUUCACCCGGCAGCACCAGAUGCGACGCGGCAUCUGGCCCGGCCCCUUGACGUCGCGACAUCAGCCCUGUGCCCCCUAUCCCCAUCGCGGCCGCCGCGCGCACGGCGACACACCGCCUCCUCUCCUCCACGCCUUCCGAGGUUUCGCCCUGUGUGCCUCCCGCGGAUUCCCCCGACUCCGCCGGAGAGGGCCCUGCGCUCCCUGCUCGCGUGCCGGAGGUCGGCUGCCUCCUGCGUGUCCUCCUCCUCCUGUGCCAGGAUCCCACGCUCCUCUGCCCCCAGCCGCGCCUGGACCCUUCGUCGGCCUCCUUCCUCGGUACUCCUGUCAGCAUAUAGGGCGUGACUCAUCUGAUGCCCGGCCUGCUCCUGCUUCGUCACUCUGCAAUAAGCCUCUGCCAGGCUAGAAAUGAAGAUUGGACCAUGAUCUUGAUCGACCAGAUCAUGAGAUGGAUUACCUAUUUACCUUAGGGAAUGGAGUACAAAAUUGCUGUUGCUAGAAAGAUGGCUCCUUUUGUUCAGAGUAAUUUGGGAGAUUCAAGAACAGCUGGACUUGAUCAUUUGAAUUUUAUAACAUUUUUUAACUUUAUGUGUGCAAAAGCAUGUGUCGUCCAAUUUUUCUGUAUUUGAGAUUUGUAUUUGGCUGUGUGUCUCACAGUAAGGUGGUAUGAAUGAUAGAUUUGAAGAUUACAUAUUGUUAAUAUUUCUUAUCGUUAAUAUUUCUUUUGUGCUGUUUUAA